UGGGGAAUAUUGGACAAUGGGCGAAAGCCUGAUCCAGCAACGCCGCGUGAGGGAUGACGGCCUUCGGGUUGUAAACCUCUUUCGCCCAGGACGAAGCGAGAGUGACGGUACUGGGUAAAGAAGCACCGGCCAACUACGUGCCAGCAGCCGCGGUAAUACGUAGGGUGCGAGCGUUGUCCGGAAUUAUUGGGCGUAAAGGGCUCGUAGGCGGUUUGUCACGUCGGGAGUGAAAACCAGGUGCUUAACAUCUGGCUGGCUUCCGAUACGGGCAGACUAGAGGUAUGCAGGGGAGAACGGAAUUCCUGGUGUAGCGGUGAAAUGCGCAGAUAUCAGGAGGAACACCGGUGGCGAAGGCGGUUCUCUGGGCAUUACCUGACGCUGAGGAGCGAAAGUGUGGGGAGCGAACAGG
rnacentral:rRNA from 1 species